rnacentral:lncRNA from 1 species
GGAGGAUGAUGAAAGAGAGGGAGAUCGAGAGAGGGGCACAGCCUGCAUCCGACCACUGAGGAAGGGGGAGAAAGAGAGAUGAUCCACCAUCAAAAGGGACUGACGAAGAGAGAGAGAAAAAUCCGACCUACCAUCGUCCGAUAACCAUCGGAGAGAUUUGCCAAUGGGGACCCGAACUUAAAGAGAAAAGAGGGAGGGCAGGUCCACCACCGAAAGGGAUCUGCGAAGGGGGAGAAAGAGAGAAAGAGGAGGGGUCUGACCUUCCACUGUCUGCCGUUCGCCACUCGCCGCCUAUCGGAGGGAGUGAUCCAUUGAUGGGGACCGGAACAUAAAGAGAAGAGAGGGAGGGAGGGGGAAGAUGGAACCAAGAGGGAGAGAAGAAGGAGAAGAGAGGGAAGGAGAGAGGCCCAACACCGACUAUCUAAAGGGAAGAGAAAGGGAUCCCGACGGC